rnacentral:rRNA from 1 species
UGCUUUGCGGGGUGCUUUACACAUGCAGUCGAACGGGAUCCAUCAGGCUUUGCUUGGUGGUGAGAGUGGCGAACGGGUGAGUAAUGCGUGACCGACCUGCCCCAUACACCGGAAUAGCUCCUGGAAACGGGUGGUAAUGCCGGAUGCUCCGACUCCUCGCAUGGGGUGUCGGGAAAGAUUUCAUCGGUAUGGGAUGGGGUCGCGUCCUAUCAGGUAGUCGGCGGGGUAACGGCCCACCGAGCCUACGACGGGUAGCCGGCCUGAGAGGGCGACCGGCCACAUUGGGACUGAGAUACGGCCCAGACUCCUACGGGAGGCAGCAGUGGGGAAUAUUGCACAAUGGGCGCAAGCCUGAUGCAGCGACGCCGCGUGCGGGAUGACGGCCUUCGGGUUGUAAACCGCUUUUGAUCGGGAGCAAGCCUUCGGGUGAGUGUACCUUUCGAAUAAGCACCGGCUAACUACGUGCCAGCAGCCGCGGUAAUACGUAGGGUGCAAGCGUUAUCCGGAAUUAUUGGGCGUAAAGGGCUCGUAGGCGGUUCGUCGCGUCCGGUGUGAAAGUCCAUCGCUUAACGGUGGAUCUGCGCCGGGUACGGGCGGGCUGGAGUGCGGUAGGGGAGACUGGAAUUCCCGGUGUAACGGUGGAAUGUGUAGAUAUCGGGAAGAACACCAAUGGCGAAGGCAGGUCUCUGGGCCGUUACUGACGCUGAGGAGCGAAAGCGUGGGGAGCGAACAGGAUUAGAUACCCUGGUAGUCCACGCCGUAAACGGUGGAUGCUGGAUGUGGGGCCCGUUCCACGGGUUCCGUGUCGGAGCUAACGCGUUAAGCAUCCCGCCUGGGGAGUACGGCCGCAAGGCUAAAACUCAAAGAAAUUGACGGGGGCCCGCACAAGCGGCGGAGCAUGCGGAUUAAUUCGAUGCAACGCGAAGAACCUUACCUGGGCUUGACAUGUUCCCGACAGCCGUAGAGAUAUGGCCUCCCUUCGGGGCGGGUUCACAGGUGGUGCAUGGUCGUCGUCAGCUCGUGUCGUGAGAUGUUGGGUUAAGUCCCGCAACGAGCGCAACCCUCGCCCUGUGUUGCCAGCACGUCAUGGUGGGAACUCACGGGGGACCGCCGGGGUCAACUCGGAGGAAGGUGGGGAUGACGUCAGAUCAUCAUGCCCCUUACGUCCAGGGCUUCACGCAUGCUACAAUGGCCGGUACAACGGGAUGCGACACGGCGACGUGGAGCGGAUCCCUGAAAACCGGUCUCAGUUCGGAUUGGAGUCUGCAACCCGACUCCAUGAAGGCGGAGUCGCUAGUAAUCGCGGAUCAGCAACGCCGCGGUGAAUGCGUUCCCGGGCCUUGUACACACCGCCCGUCAAGUCAUGAAAGUGGGUAGCACCCGAAGCCGGUGGCCUAACCCUUUGUGGAUGGAGCCGUCUAAGGGAGACUCGG